rnacentral:tRNA from 14 species
GCGGGAAUAGCUCAGUUGGUAGAGCCCCGGAUUGUGAUUCCGGUUGUCGCGGGUUCAAACCCCGUUUCUCGCCCCA